rnacentral:tRNA from 1 species
UCCCACAUGGUCUAGCAGUUAGGAUUCCUGGUUUUCACCCAGGCGGCCCGGGUUUGACUCCCAGUGUGGAAA